UACGGCGGGAGCUAGCGUUGUUCGGAAUUACUGGGCGUAAAGCGCGCGUAGGCGGCUUUGUAAGUUAGAGGUGAAAGCCUGGAGCUCAACUUCAGAAUUGCCUUUAAGACUGCAUCGCUUGAAUCCGGGAGAGGUGAGUGGAAUUCCGAGUGUAGAGGUGAAAUUCGUAGAUAUUCGGAAGAACACCAGUGGCGAAGGCGGCUCACUGGACCGGCAUUGACGCUGAGGUGCGAAAGCGUGGGGAGCAAACAGG
rnacentral:rRNA from 1 species